UUGUGAGGGCGCCCCCCGGCGGCUCGGAGGACCGAGGGUGGUGCGUUCUAAGAAAAGAUUUUUGGGGGGGUCCAGAAAGACUCAGGAGGGGUCAGUGCAGAGGCAGCAGCUUUAUUGUUGCAAAACAGGCAAAUAAAAACAAAUUUAUCGUUAAAAAUCUUGUUAAAAUUUUGUUAAAAUUAAGGCAGUUUCAACCCUCCCCUCUCCCUUCAGACGCCCCAAAAAUCCCCACGGGGUGGGAGCCCCGAAAUUGUCACCAGAGGUAAUGGGGGGACCCCCAAAAGUAACAAACGGGGGAGUCCAAAGGGCACAGGUGGACCCCAAAAGUGAUGGGAGGACCCCAAAGCCCCCCCCAAGCAAUGGGGGCACCCCCCAGUUCUCCCCUAUAAAUAACGGGGGGACCCCAAAAACAACUGGAAUCCCCCCCGAAAAUUCACUCCAGGCAAUGGGGGAACCCCAAAAGCACCAAAGGGACCCCAAAUUUUCACUCCAGGCAAUGGGGGAACCCCAAAGGGACCCCCAACCCUCACUCCCGGCAAUGGGGGAACCCCAAGGAUGACAAAGGGACCCCAACCCUCACUCCCGGCAAUGGGGGGACCCCAAACUCCCCCCGGCCCCUCAGCAGAGGCUGACGGGCAGCCCGUAGGCCACGGGCGCGGCCCCGAUUAGCGAUUUGAGGCGGGGGGCCUGGCGGGCCUGGGCCAGCUGCCCCAAAAGGGGGGUCCCGGGGCCCCCCCCCAGCCACCCCCGCAGCAGCGCCUGCGCCAGCCGGUCCAGGUCCCGGUCCGUGACGUCCCACAGGUUCCCCAGCACCAGCGGGCUGCAAACGGGGGGACACCCCAAAACGGGGGUGUGAGAGCCCAGGUACAGAGAGAGACACCCCAAAUAGAGAGAGAGACCCCAAAUACAGAGACACCCCAAAAUGGGGCUGUGAGAGCCCAAAUAGAGAGAGAAAUACACCCCAAAUAUAGAGACCCCAAAAUGGGGGUGUGAGAUACCAGGUACAGAGAGAGACACCCCAAAUAUAGAGAGAGACCCCAAAUACAGACACACCCCAAAUACAGAGAGAGAUGCACCCCAAAUAGAGAGAGACCCCAAAAUGGGGCUGUGAGAGCCCAAAUAGAGAGAGAGAGACCCCAAAUACUGAGAGAGACCCCAAAAUGGGGAUGUGAGCACAGGGAGAAUGCCCAAAAAUAAAGAGACACCCCAAAGUCA
rnacentral:lncRNA from 1 species